AGAGUUUGAUCCUGGCUCAGGAUGAACGCUGGCGGCGUGCUUAACACAUGCAAGUCGAACGAAGCACUUUAUUUGAUUUCCUUCGGGACUGAUUAUUUUGUGACUGAGUGGCGGACGGGUGAGUAACGCGUGGGUAACCUGCCUUGUACAGGGGGAUAACAGUUGGAAACGGCUGCUAAUACCGCAUAAGCGCACAGCAUCGCAUGAUGCAGUGUGAAAAACUCCGGUGGUAUAAGAUGGACCCGCGUUGGAUUAGCUAGUUGGUGAGGUAACGGCCCACCAAGGCGACGAUCCAUAGCCGACCUGAGAGGGUGACCGGCCACAUUGGAACUGAGACACGGUCCAAACUCCUACGGGAGGCAGCAGUGGGGAAUAUUGCACAAUGGGCGAAAGCCUGAUGCAGCAACGCCGCGUGAGCGAUGAAGGCCUUCGGGUCGUAAAGCUCUGUCCUCAAGGAAGAUAAUGACGGUACUUGAGGAGGAAGCCCCGGCUAACUACGUGCCAGCAGCCGCGGUAAUACGUAGGGGGCUAGCGUUAUCCGGAUUUACUGGGCGUAAAGGGUGCGUAGGCGGUCUUUUAAGUCAGGAGUGAAAGGCUACGGCUCAACCGUAGUAAGCUCUUGAAACUGGAGGACUUGAGUGCAGGAGAGGAGAGUGGAAUUCCUAGUGUAGCGGUGAAAUGCGUAGAUAUUAGGAGGAACACCAGUAGCGAAGGCGGCUCUCUGGACUGUAACUGACGCUGAGGCACGAAAGCGUGGGGAGCAAACAGGAUUAGAUACCCUGGUAGUCCACGCCGUAAA
rnacentral:rRNA from 1 species